UAAUAUGAUGAUAAAACUUUUUGUUGUCUCGAAGAUUUAUUUCGAUGUGAGCACAUGAUUUCUCAAAUAGACUACAACGGUAUCUGAUC
rnacentral:snoRNA from 1 species